rnacentral:tRNA from 1 species
GGAAACGUGGCAGAGCGGCCGAAUGCACUGGUCUUGAAAACCAGCGAUGAGCAAUCAUCCGCGGGUUCAAAUCCCGCCGUUUCCGCCA